GCAUGUCUGCGUGUGGUUGGGCACGUCUGGGCGCGGCGCUCUGCCCAGGCGUGGGCGCGCGGGGCAUGGCCCAAGCACGAGCGCGCGGGCCGGCCCAGGCCCGGGCAUGUGGGGCAUAGCCCAGGCUCGGGCACGCAGGUGCAAGCACGGCCCAGGCCCACAUGCGGGCCGACUCAGGCCCAGGCGCCCGCGGGGAGCCCGUUUGCUCGGUGUGUGGUAUGGUGGCUCAAUUUUUGCUGAUGGCGCGGAAGGCUUCAUGCGGUAACCCAGAGAACAGAACCCACGAAGAGAGAGAGCAUUCGAUGCUGAGAAGAGAAGGAGCAGGGAGGCUCCUGGAUAGCGGACAGCAGUCGCUUUAAGGGUUCAGGGGGAUCUUCCUAGAGAGAGCUUUUGUGAGGGAGAACUUUCUGUGAGAGAAAAAUUGGAUGUACGAGGGUUGAGGAUGAGAUCUCCUCUUGUAAUAUUUAUUUCUCAUAGUGAAAUUUGCAUGCCCCAUGGAGGCGAGUCCUUUUUGACUAAUCCACGUAAUUGAUUAUUUUCUAUUUUAUUUCUUCUUUCUUUCUGCUGCAUCACGUAGUAUCAAAAAGGUCCUAAUAGGUGGUGUCUUGGCC
rnacentral:lncRNA from 1 species